AACGGGUGAGUAAUGCUUCGGAAUCUACCCAGUAGUGGGGAAUAACCAGUCGAAAGAUUGGCUAAUACCGCAUACGACCCACGGGUGAAAGCAGGGGAUCGCAAGACCUUGCGCUAUUGGAUGAGCCGAAGUCGGAUUAGCUUGUUGGUGAGGUAACGGCUCACCAAGGCGACGAUCCGUAGCUGGUCUGAGAGGACGACCAGCCACACUGGGACUGAGACACGGCCCAGACUCC
rnacentral:rRNA from 1 species